rnacentral:rRNA from 1 species
UACGAAGGGGGCUAGCGUUGUUCGGAAUUACUGGGCGUAAAGGGCGCGUAGGCGGUCCUGAUCGUCGGAUGUGAAAGGCCUGGGCUCAACCUGGGAACUGCAUCCGAUACGGCGGGACUGGAGUGUGGGAGAGGUUGGUGGAAUUCCCAGUGUAGAGGUGAAAUUCGUAGAUAUUGGGAAGAACACCGGUGGCGAAGGCGGCCAACUGGACCACAACUGACGCUGAGGCGCGAAAGCGUGGGGAGCGAACAGG